CUCCCUCUCUCUCUCCCUCCCUCCCUCCCUUCCUUCCUUCCUUCCUUCCUUCCUUUUUUCCUCAAACCCAGGCAUGGACCCAGAGCCUGUAGCAUUCUAGACAAGUGCGGAAGCACUGAACUAUAGCCUCAGCAAAAGUUUUGCUGUGUGGAGUCAGUAUUAUAUUACUUGAUAUGUAGACAUUCAUAACCAUUUGGACUUUAUCACAGAAUAAAAUGAACCUUGAAAAAUAUUUUAAAAAUAGUGCUCCACAAAAGUGCCCAGUUGAGCUGGCAAUGAAUUCUUCAGUGGAAUUGCCUUUUUCCUUCCAGAAGUAA
rnacentral:lncRNA from 1 species